GCUCUGUGGAUCAGUGGCGAACGGGUGAGUAACACGUGAGCAACCUGCCCUGGACUCUGGGAUAAGCGCUGGAAACGGCGUCUAAUACUGGAUAUGAGAUGCGAUCGCAUGGUCGUGUUUGGAAAGAUUUUUCGGUCUGGGAUGGGCUCGCGGCCUAUCAGCUUGUUGGUGAGGUAAUGGCUCACCAAGGCGUCGACGGGUAGCCGGCCUGAGAGGGUGACCGGCCACACUGGGACUGAGACACGGCCCAGACUCCUACGGGAGGCAGCAGUGGGGAAUAUUGCACAAUGGGCGAAAGCCUGAUGCAGCAACGCCGCGUGAGGGAUGACGGCCUUCGGGUUGUAAACCUCUUUUGGUAGGGAAGAAGCCUUCGGGUGACGGUACCUGCAGAAAAAGCGCCGGCUAACUACGUGCCAGCAGCCGCGGUAAUACGUAGGGCGCAAGCGUUAUCCGGAAUUAUUGGGCGUAAAGAGCUCGUAGGCGGUCUGUCGCGUCUGCUGUGAAAUCCCGAGGCUCAACCUCGGGCUUGCAGUGGGUACGGGCAGACUAGAGUGCGGUAGGGGAGAUUGGAAUUCCUGGUGUAGCGGUGGAAUGCGCAGAUAUCAGGAGGAACACCGAUGGCGAAGGCAGAUCUCUGGGCCGUUACUGACGCUGAGGAGCGAAAGGGUGGGGAGCAAACAGGCUUAGAUACCCUGGUAGUC
rnacentral:rRNA from 1 species